GCAAUGAGGAAUAUUGGUCAAUGGGCGCAAGCCUGAACCAGCCAUGCCGCGUGCAGUGAGAAGGCCUUCUGGGAUUGUAAACUGCUUUUGUACGGGAAGAAACCCUCCUACGUGUAGGAGCUUGACGGUACCGUAAGAAUAAGGAUCGGCUAACUCCGUGCCAGCC
rnacentral:rRNA from 1 species